CACAUAUACAUACCCAGCCCCAUACGUCUGUGCUUUAUUUUGCCUACUAUUGAAUUAGAUUAAAUAAAUGUCAUUAAAUGUUCAUGCCUCUGCAAAUGCAACCAAAAUGGAUAGAUAAAUAAAAUGGAAUGAGUAGCGGAUUCUAUUCCAUCCGAUCCUUGCUGAGUGCUAAUUGCUCAUCAAGGGGCAGGUGUGAUGUUGCUAGGUAGGAUAAAGGCGAGGCCUCGUGGGCUGUUGUCAUUUCAGCGCUGCAUUCACUCAGGGUGAAACUUCUGAGUAGUGCAAGUUGCUUCUUCUCCCCCCGCCUGCCUUCUUCUUAGCUAGACUCUUGGAGUUCUUUUAUGGUAUGUUUUAUUCAUGCGCUACCUUUCCAUGUUGUUAUGAGACAAUUUUAAGGCCACUUUUAAAUCUAAUUCAAGAUCACGGAACACUGACUCAUUCAGAAUAAUUUAAUAUUGGACCUAAUAUUCACCUAUGAACUUGAAUUUGGACAACUGUGUGCAUGUGCAUUGCUUAACCAUUAUACUGCACAUAAGUGUUAUUUUUGAGAAUGUUUCGGGGUUUUUUUCAAGGUCACCUUUAGCAAAUUUUGAGGUGUCAAUUGCUGAACAUUACCACUUAAAGACUAGAGGGUGGCCAAUGGGUCCAAUCUUAUCACAAUAUCAAAUGUUUAAUGCCUGAAACUAUGAAACCAUUCUACAGUGAUUACAGUCUAUGAAUUGAGUCAAAUUCUCAAGUUUUUCAACUACAGUAGUGCUGUGUGUUGUACUUGGGGUACAUGUGUUUUUGACUUCAUGAACUGUAGAUUUAAAGAUCUCUUUUAGGGUUGAUUGAGGCCUUAGUUUUGGAGAAUGGCUAUUUUGAUCAAUUAUUUUAUUUUGUGAUUAUGUAAGAUUUGUAUUUAUUUUUCUGCUAUGAGAACAUCUGCUGUGAUUUGGCACAUGAAUUGAAAUUUCAUUUGUCAAUCUUUCCAAACAUGGCAGCUUUAAGAUCAUGUGACUUACAGGGGAUGUCGAGUCAAGUUUUUUUCUAUGCUGCCCACCUAGUCAAAACUCUCUAUUCUGAUUUAUUGUUGCAUCUGUGGAAUAUGAAAUGGCAGGUUAAAUUGACCCGUUUUUCAUCCAGAUGGUAAGUUUUGCCACUUGCUGUCGACUGAAAGUAUCACAUGACCAAACCCAGAGAACAGCUGAGCUUGGCUGUUUUUUCCCCUCUUAAAUGGAAGUACUGGGUUGCCCGUUAAACAGGGUCAUAGAAAUGGACAAACCGCUGACGCACAUAAUCCAGUGAUUGAUGAAGACCUCUCCUGUGACCCUACUAAAGUCUGGCAACAUGUGCCACACAGCCCUGGCACUCCUGCAGCUCAUGGGACCAACAUGUGGGGAUAUUCUGGACUGGUGGGACCUCGUAGUGUUAAAAAUGCUGCUCGCCAUGUCGAUCAACAGAGUAGUGCUGAUGUAGCACCGCCUGGUUCUGGUAAUCAAGACCAGAAUGGAGGUCACAACCCCCUUGUCUUUGAGAGUCUUUCAAUUCCACCCGGAGGUGUCUGCCGUCUUAAAUUACAUGCCAUUCAGUGGUGCCCAGACUGAAUACCUGUCAGACACUUUGGCACAACUUUUUAAGAGAUGACGACUAGCGUCCUUGACUGGUUUCCACAAGCUGGAGGGGACCCAGAGAAAGAGGAAAAACAGACUGAACCAGAGGAGCCACCAACCUCCAUCAUCCGCUCCAGAAAUGGCCACGCGCGAGUCGGCUCUCUAUUCACCAAAGACUGCUACACUCCCCUAGUUGUGCACCCACCGGUUGGAUAUCACUACUAUACCCGAAACCGCUUUGGAGUGAAGCACUGAGGAAUUGAUCUUGAGUUGUAAACGUGUCUUGUGUGAAUUAAAACGUGCAAUUU